UGUGUGUGCAGUCUGAGUCUGCGUGAGUUCCCCUUCCCCCACCGUUCUCCUGCGGCGUGAGAGUACGAAUGGGAGAAGGCUGCAUUCCUCAGCUCGCCUCUUUCUCCAAACUGUUGCUGGGAGGGGCAGGAGCAACAUCACUCCAGCAUGCUCUAGUCCAUGAGGAAAUAUCAUGACACCCUGUGGUGCACUGCUGAACUUUUGGGAACUGGCAAGCCUGAAUCAGAAGUGCUACUGGUCCAUGAAGAUAUGCCUCUAGAAAGAAUAUCAAGUACUGGCCCAACAGAACCGUGGAAAAGACUGCCUAUAAUUGCCUUUAUUGCCUUAACAUUCUGCACUGUGGCGGGUAUUGUACAUGCAUCGUGAAGUACAUUGUAUUUUGAGCCACCAAACUGCAGGAGCUCGCUUCCUACCUGCUCAGUCAUUGGUUCAUGCUGUGAAGGGGUUGGAGUGUAGUGGAUUUCCUAGGUCACAGUCUGAACCAAUGGGUGAGCACGUGAGUGCCUGGAGCGGGGGGGGGGGGGGCUAGAGUCACCCCUUCUGUCUCAGGGAUGCUUCUUGGAGCGCGUGUGCAGUCUGAGCCUGCGUGCGUUCCCUUUCCCCCGCCCUUCUGCAGCGCAAGAAUGCGAACAGGAGAAGGCUGCGUUCCUCAGCUCGCCCCUUUUUCCAAACUGUUUUUUGGAGGGCUGAUGAGGUGCCCUUCUAUGUUACAAGGAAUUCCUUUUACAUCACAGUGGUAGAGCUGGUUAAAAACACCAUCUGCUCUCAUAAAUGCCUGGACUGUGUUUAGCCACACUAUUCAAAAACUUGAGAAUAGCUACUGAAAGCUGGAGAUGAACCAUUGAAGUACACUGGAUGACAUCCGAACACAUCCAACAGUUAAGUGAAGGACCAAGUACUAUAAAAAGUCAAGGCAGGAGCAACAUCACUCAAACACGCUUAUGAGGAAACAUCAUGACACCCUGUGACGCACUGCUGAACUUUUGGGGACUGGAGAGCAUGAAUCAGAAGCGCUACUGGUCCUUGAAAAAGAUACGCCUCGAGAAAGAACAUCAAGUACUGGCCCAACAGAACCGUGAAGGGGACUGCCACUGAUUGCCUUUAUUGUUUUGACAUCCCAUAUUGCGGCGGAUGUUGUGUAUGCGUCGCGAUGUGCAUUGUGUCUUGGGCCACCAGGUUGCAGGGGCUCACCCCCUACCUGCUCAGUCAUUGGUUCAUGCUGUGAAGGGGUGGAGUGUAGUGGAAUUCCAGGGUCACAGCCUGAACCAAUGGGUGGGCUCUGUGAGUGUGUGAGUGCGGCGGCGCGGCAGUACGAGCGGGGGAGGGACACAUUCCUCAGCUCGGCUCUGCCUGCGUGCUGCUACCGGGAGGGGUGAGUCGAUUCUUUUUGAUAUCUUUCCCUCGUGUGCCUAUUUCUUAAAUAAAGGCUUUGUCAUUACCUUCAUUUGCUCUACAGCUACAUAUUACCUACAAAAAAUAAUCCACAGAAAGGAGAUCAGUGACUCUUUCCCAUGGCCUGAGGAAGCUCUUGGAAUUAUAUGGACAGAAGUAGAAGAGAGUCACUUCCUUGGCCUGUCCUAUAGCCACAGAGACUCCUGUUGCAUUUUCCAAGCUGCAAACUAAGGACUAAGCAACCUCUGCCCUUCCUGCAGCCAGCACUCCCCUGAUGUAGUCCAGUGUGUGUACAGGGAACCUUGGACAGCUCUUAGCUCUCUCACCCACUGCUCCUUUCUGUACUCAGCCCAAACACAGAAACCAGAUCACACAAGUUUUCAGACCACAGAUCACAUGUUCUAGCUCUUUUGUACAACACAUGUCCAGAGACAGUUUAAUAAUACUUUCAUCAGAGACUUACAGGCACUUACAUAAAUGGUUCAGCUUUCUCAGCUGUAGGCACCAUUUUUGACAGAACUCAUCUUAGUAUAUUCACAUGAAAUACAGAAAUGAGUUGAAGUAUUUGUGUCUUUAAAAUGAGGAGAAGAAAAAGCCAGUCUGAACUCAAAUACCUUGGCUUACCAAUAUCACAUUUUUUUUUUUUUAACUAUUUACAGACAUUUUAAAAACACUACUUACAUGCCCCAAAAUGAUGCUUUUAAACAUAAUUCCAACUACAGUUAGCUCAAAUUAUCUAAGCUUUUUUUUCCCCCGAGUAUAGCAAAGUAAUGCCUCUCAAAUUUAAUUUACAUAAUAAUUAAGCUAGAUUUCUCUGAAGACUCAUACAAUAUAAUCCCUAUUUUAUCAAUAAAUAGAUGGUUGUUGCAUAUUUUACAAUUUAUACAGAAUUGUAUGGAAUGUACUAAAGGAUAUUAACUAUGGCAUCACUUACUGACCACAUCAUACAAAUAUCACUUGUGGGUUAGAGCUCAUGAGAUUUUAAGGAGUUUUUAAAAACAUUUAUCAAUAAAUAAACAAAAUACUUUUUACGGAGUCUGAAAAUUAAGAAAUUGAGAUUGAGGAUGUGGUGCAUCAGGAAUUAUGAUACAGGAUACAAAAUCAUUCUUCCAUUGAAUGCCACUGAUCUGACAGUUUUUUAUAAUGCAGAAAAUAGCUUUUGUACCUGAAACUUGUCAAUGCCAUCAACAGAGACAAGUGAGGCGUUAUCAGAUGGACAUAGCAUGGAAUGCCUUUUCUGUUUAAGGUCUAAGGAUACAGUUUGCACAUGGAAGCCUAUCAGUAAUUGUAGCUGUGGAACUAUUCAUUUCACAGGUUACAUUGGUACUGCUCAAAAUUAUCUCAUCCCAAUGUUUUCCUACAGUCAGUGAAAAUCAUAGCCUGAAACAAUUUAAACCUUUUGAGGGAAACAACAACAAAGUACAACAGAAGAACCCCCCUCUAACCUACCUCAACUCUUUCACCCAUAUGAAUGAGUAGAGUAUUUGCUAUGAGCAUAUUACAGUUCAAAGGAGUUUUUUUCUUCAGAAUUAUCCAUCAUCAACAUUUCACUAAUUUGCACAAUCAUCCUAACUCCAUAAGCAUACUCCUCCUGGUGCAGAGACAAAUUCAGACAAAGGAGAUCACCUUCAAAAACCAUUAAAAAGUUGGGGAGAUGAGUCAACAUUUGUAUAUUUUUGAUCUUUCUAUAAUUUUAGAUUAAAGAGGACUGUUUAUUUCCACACAAAAUUGAGAUCACUGGUCUGACUGGUUUCACAGAGCGUUUCAGAUAAACUACAUUUUCUUUACACUACAUGCUACAGCUUCCUUUGGUGGGGAGAAAAACAGAAUGACAGUAGUGAAGGGAACACAGCCCAUAUUCCAGUCUGAUACAUUACUAAGCCACACUUCCACUGUUUGCAAUAUUAUUAGAAGUGCUGUUUCGCACAGUCACUGGUGCCAGAGGACUCAAAAUCAAAUCUGAAGUCAUUAUAUAAAAAUGAUACUGCAGAACUCAAUUUUAACUUCAUUAAAGUAACAAAAUAGCUGACAAAUGGAGCCAUCCACUCUGAUGUGUCUCAGCUUCAAAUAACGCAUAAAACAAUUGGAAACUCAGCCUUAGGGCUGCUGCUGCUGCUUUAAAGUAGUCAGUAGUACUGACAGAGUUAAAAACACUGAAAUGUAACACUACAGAAUUAAAAAGUUAACAAUAAGUCAUGAACCUAACUAAAAUGCAGGUUGAAGUCAAAAGAACAUGAUUAAGACUACAUGGAACCUUGAGCAGUGUUUGAAAGGGAAAGAUGAAGUCUUUUGUUAGGACAGCACAAAGCAAGGACAGCACAGCGUCCCCAGAAGGAUUACACAGCCCUGAAUGAUUUCAGGAAGUUAUGAAAUAAUUUUAGCAAAGAACAACACACAGCACAUACAUUUAAUAAAUUUUCAUCAACUGGCAAACUAUAACAUUAUCAACCUGUUUUUUCUACCCAUUUAUAAAACUGAUCAAACCCACUUCAGAGCAUGUACAUCCUAAAAUCUGCUGUGGCAUAUAUCUUAUUUCUGCAUCCUGUAACUUUAAUUAUUUUAAACUUGCAUCUAAAUAGCUGAAGACAAAAGCUUCAGAACAUGACUUUCACAGUGUAAAACACUGCUGCUUAUUACAGAGUAAACCAAAUUCAGGUUGUAUUUUCCUCUUCAAUAUCUGAUCUUUUAAACUACUCACGUGCUUUACAAGCUUCAGAUAAACUACAUUUGUUAUUUGUUACCUCUAGAAACAAGAAGUCAAAUAUCUGUCCUUUCUUUGAAAGCUUUUUGUGUACUCCUUAUACAGCAUUGGCCUAUCAAGAAAGUAGUCCAGGCUUGGUUGUAGCAUUGCUUCAACAUCAUCAACAGGAAAAAAAAAAAAAAAACCCAACACAAAAAGCUCUUUCCUUAUUAAAAUUAAUAACAAUAACUAGCCAUCUCUGGAAAACCACAGGAAUUAGAAAUUUUAAACCAACCAGUUUGACAGCAUCCUCUAAUUUCACUGCCUUCUACACAGGCCAUUCUGACUUCACAACUCAAAUAUAUGUUUAAGGGGAAGAAAAGCACACUUCUAAACUACAAGCAAGAUUUUAAAUUAGUCAAAAGUAUUCAUAUUUUAUUCCUUUCAGUCUAUUUGUACUAUUAAAAAUACCACUGUUCCAAUUUCACAUUAAUCUAAUUUAUACAGACUUAAUAAUUGAUGUAGCACAUUUCCUUUUCAAAUAUUGUUCAUACCCCUGUCCCACAGGCUUUUCAAAAAUAUGCAUAUGGCUUAUAGUUUCCAUAAAGUCACAUGACAUACUUUAAGGAUAUCUCCUAUCAAAAAUUGAGGGCUUACUCCAAAUCUGACAGCUUACUCCAAUCUGACAGGAUCCCAAAAAACACUCCUCUAGGAAGAAUUUAAGCUUAUUAGUACUCUUUUACUAGAUUGUUCAAAAAAAAAAAGUACCUUUUCUGCUCAAGUGUUCAUCUAUUUCUUCUCUCAUGCAACACUUGAAGUCACAGUUCUGUUUAUGAGACUGCAAUCAAUUCUUCAGUAGUCAAUUAGAGUAUCUCAAAGGUGUAGGUUUUGGUGAAUAAUAAAGCAAUCAAUUUGAGCUCCUGCAGUCUUGUUCUUAUUUUAGUAUUUCUGAUAAUUACAAAAUAAAUACUCAGAAAGCCAGUUCCUACAUCAUAUUUUAUUAGUGGGAUCAAAGGCAGACUUCUAACACAAGCACUGCUAGCUGAGUUGUCACUGUAAUACUCACUGCAGAUUAAUCAAGAACAAUUUUACCUGCACCAGUGUUCACUGCAGUUCUAGAACACAAGAGAACUCUGCCAGAAGUUUUGAUUUAUGCUGACUGUUCAGUGGCCUGCUGGGAUUCUUACUCAAGUAAGAAAUAAAAUGAAAAAAUUGUUGCCAAUGAGAAAAAAAAAUACUAUAAUUGCAAUUUUUUUUAAGGUAAUGUUUCAGAAUUUCAAACACAAAAAACACCAAAUAGAUAUUAAGAGAAAUAUUACAGAAACUUCAAAGCUAAUAUAUGAUGGAAACAUAUAUAUUAAUUAGCAUCUAAUUCUUUUCCUUUGGUACUUAAAUCUGCAGCAUUACAGUCAUUUUACCAAAAUCAGAAAUCAGACAUGUUGCUUGGUUUCCAUAACCACUUUCUCUUACUAAUCCAAAAUGUACUCCUGAACCCAUAAGAUAGAGCAUGAUCCUCACAGGUGAAUAUUUAUAGAGAAUAAUGAUGGAAUCUGGUCGCAUUUUGAUAAAAAUUGUGCUGAAAGAGUCGCCUGAUGUUCUCAAUGAAGACAGCAGCAGUACAAUUACCUUGUAGUAACUUCUUUUAACACUAAAAACUGACAUGAAAUUGUCUUCAUGAAAUCCUUUCAUUAUUCCCUGGAACAAUGCUUGAGGCAUUAUGCCUGAUUCUGUCAUUAUCACAGCUCUACAUCUUAUUAAUGUAAACCAGGAGUAGAAAGAGAGAUGGUGAAUGAUAUUAAAAUCUGCCAUUUUGAGAAUAAUGUUCCAAAACAGAUCAAAGUGCUUGGAUGAUGCCUCCCAGUUCUCGCAGCUUUCAGUAUCAGUUUAUAAUGUCACCAACAAUUUCACUGCAUAGAAUCAAAAAAAGGCAGGUCCUCCUGUUCUCCAUUUUGGCUCAUUGAGAAGAUGUAGCUCAUCAGAAUGUUGAGCCCGGUCCAUUGUUUCAAUUGCUUUAAAGCAAGAAAAAGAAGCAUCCUUCCUAAAUUAUUCCUCUUUGCCUCAUGCAUUUCGGCUCUGCAUCUCUAACACUAGAAUCCCAAACUAUUUCCUCAUAUUACAUGCAGCCUGGCAGAAGCAAAAAUACAGUUAUUAUUUUCUAUGUAGUUUUCACAACACAAAAGCAUUAAAGCUGCUCUUGUGAAAAGAUAUUCUCAAAAGCAAUUUAGUUUACAGUGCUUUUCUUCCACUUCUUGUCUCCUUUCUACACUUUUUGCAGUUACCCAGCUAAAGAGGAGAACGUGCCAGCUCCAUCUAGUUCAUAGAUUACAGCUAUCCUUUGGAAGCAGAGGUAAAUUCAUUUUUUUGCAUUAAGAAGCUAACUGAAGUGAGGCUUGCAUAAAGCAUGGAGCUAGAGCCGUACAUGUGACGUACAAAAGUAAAGAGCUCAGCAAGGCCUACAGAUUCUACACUGGACACUAAAACUUCUAAACACUAAACUUUUACAAAAUUCAAAAGCUUUUAUUUCUCUCACUGUAAUUCCAUGUGAAGUUCUGCUCAGAAUUCAGUGAAACUUAAAAUUUAGAACACCACCAACACACAAAAGCCAUGGAGAGCAAGCAGAGAAAUCUACUGCACAUAGUUUGAAACAAAGCAGAAAAAGUUUCAAAAAUGAAAACCCUAACCCAGAAGUACCCCAUGUGAGAGCUCUUCAGGUCCAUUUUUAUUGUAUUUGAUUCUUCUUGAAAAGACUGCUCAGGGUUAAAAAGCUUAUUCGGAACCUUUUCGACAAUAUGGCUCUAUUUGUUUAAUUUUCAUAGGUAGAAUCCAUCUGUAGUCUUAGUAUUUAACUAUAAUUGGAUGAUAUUUAUUCAGCUAGAACAUUUUUUUCUGACAUUUAUAUUACCUCAAAGGACAACGCCACCUUUAGAAAUUCUAUUUCAGAUUGAGCUAAUAGAACUUUUGAAGGCAUGGAAAUCUUUUCAUGAAUCAGCAUGGUUGAUUAUGACUUUGAAGGGGUAACGUAUCACAGAAAUUGACUUUUUUCAGCCUCAGUGAAAAGGAAUCAAUUUGCAUGAAGAAAUAAAUUAAUUCUAGGCAAGGCAGAUCCCUAGAGGUACAUUCUCUAAAUGUUGAACUCCCACAACACACACAUUUUGAAGACAGCUUUUUUGUCUUUAUGGAGAGGCUAAAGCUAUUCUAAGCUAAAAUUCAUUGCUUUUACUGAUUAUCUCAAUCUAAUAAUGAGAACAUUUGAAGAACUAGAAUGUAUUGCAAUAUAUACAUUAUAUACUCAAGGUAAAUCAUUAAGCGUAUGGGGAAACUGAAAGGCUCUGGAAAGUCUCUGGUGAAACUGUGGAAUAUAAACCAAAUUACCUGUAAUUAAUAGAGCUUCUUAUUUAGAAGUCAUUAAUCUAAAUGCAGGUCACGUGAAGUAGAAAACAAGCAUUAAAUACAAUUUCCGAAGUGAAAAGAAUGGGUAUUCUCUGACCAGCAGUCAGCAGCAAUAUACACUGUUUACAAGAGUACGAAAUAGCUGCAGAAAACAGUGCAUGAUUCAUGGUGAUGUAACAAGUCUGUUUCUUCUGCUAAGAAUAAAAACUAUCCUUUUAACUACCUCCUAGAAAGUCCACCAUCAGUUUAAAAAGAAAAAGAAAAGCAAGUUGUUAUAUGCUAUGCAACACUAUUAACAUGAAAAUUAAAUAGGUUCCAAAUCCUUUAACUGCGGUACCACAGAGGCUCUUUCUAUACAUGCUCAAAUGCCUAAAAAACUAUCUAAAGUAAAAUUAGGCACUGCAAUACCAGAUAGUAAUUACAGUCAGGCAUCCCAUCCCAUAGCUGAAGCCUGAGUUCUUCUGAGGUUCUGGGUUUAAAAAAAAAAAAAUGUAUGCUAUUCCUUUGUAUGCAAACUUGAUGCACAAAAUUAAGCUUUCCAUGGCAUGGAAAACAAUGCAUUAAGUUAGGCCACAUAAUAUUCAGAGAAUAGGAACGUCAUUUUUGUUCUAUAGGAAAAGUCUAUUCAAAAGCUAUUUGGGAUCAAACACAUUGGGUAUUUCAGUUACUUUGGCAGUUUGAGAAAAUAUAACAGCUGGAGAAUUUGACAAGCCUCUUUAUAUAGUAUUUACACACGCUUUUAGAUAUCAUAUUUUCAUCAGUAACAGAAACUUCUUUGUUUCAUAGAAAAAUGUAACUACUCCUCCACCAUAAAUUUUAGUGAAAAUAGAAUAUGAAAUAGAAUAUGAAAGAGUAAGUACUUGCCAACACUAAUAUUAACAGCCUUCCCUUUCAAUAUACAGAAAUACAAUUUUACAGUCCAUUCAGCAUAAGGAUGAAAGAUUGCUAGAGUUUACUAAAAGAGUAUAAGUUACUCAGUAUGCUCUCAUAAAAUAUCCCCAAGGACUACAGUUAGUCUUAGGCUGAUUGGAUUUGGAAAAAAAGCCUAAAACUGUCAUUUAAGUAAGGCUGGAAAGGAGCUUCCAAAGGAAGAGAUUGGUUGCAAAAGAUUCUCAUAGCUCUUCGUCUUGGGUUAAGGCUCAACUGAGUUCCUAAGCUUAGAGUUGAGAAGAAAGGCAGUUCUUACAGUUGCAGCAUGAGUAGGGCUAGAAGGGCUCCAAACAAGGGAAGGCUGCCAAAACAAAUUCCUCUGGGUCCUGAUUGGUAGUCUUGGGUAAAGAUUCACUGAGGACUUCAGGUUAAGCUUGGCAGAGAUAUUCUAGAGCUUCAGCGUGAGUAGGGCCAGAAAGGGGCUGCCAAUGGAAAUCUCCCCCAACAGCUUCCUCCUCUUGACCAUAGCUGGUGGUCUUGGGUUCAGGCUACAGUUGGGAUUGGUAAUAGGUUUUAAAAAGAGAGAUUCCAGAGCUCUCUCAGAGUUCGUCUCAUAAUAUGGUUCUGUGUGUUACUGUACUAAUCUAACCAAAUUCACAAGAGUUUCCUAUUGCCCUCAAUUCUUCAGUGGCAUCUCAAUUUUGUUAAAUGUCCCUUUCACAUCAGCACAAACAAGCUCAUGGACAUUUUCAUGAGAAUGAAACCCUGAACUCUUUCCCCCUACAUACUUCAGCAUUCUCACAACCUGAGGAUUAAAUUUUCCUAAAUAUUUAUAGCUCUGUAGAGAUACAAUCUUACUAAUGAAUGACCGAAGAUCAGAAGGAAGAAAAAAAAAAUCCUGAAAUUGGAGCUAGCAGCCAAUUUUUGUUUUUUAAUAAAACACCCAAAUCCUAAUUCUCUUUUAAGAAACUUAUAGUUUUAUUUUUCACUCCCUUACAUCUCUGUAGAUCAGGAAUAACUCAUGGAGAAUGGGAAAACUCAGAUCAAGUCAAACAUUAAAGAUUAUAAUACAUUACCAUCAAAAUUGAAGCACAGAGAAUAAAUUAGUUUGGGAAAGCAAUGCCCAAUCAGCUGACAUUGUACAGAGAGUAAGAACCCCCUACUUGUUCAUUCUUAUACCUUUUAUGAGUAAUAAGAUUUCAAAAAUAAACUCUAGUGGCGCAGAAUAAUACUUCAGUAUAUAUUUGUAUGAACUAAUUUCUAUUCUCUUCAUAAGUUAUGUACAGUUAUAUUGACUUAUUGUUUCUGUCUCCUGGCUAGUUAUCCUCUUUCCCUCUGUGUAUAUUUUACUACUCAAGACAGUAAGAAAGAUAUAAAAAGCUAGGUAAGAAAAUUACAUACAACUGAUAUUUUAUAUAAUCAAAGAAUUGUUUGAAUUGGAUGGCCAUCUGGUCCAAAUCCCCGGCAAUCAACAGGAAUAUCUACAGCUAAAUCAGGUUGCUCAGAGCCCCCAUCAGCCUGAUCUUGAGUGUCUAAAGGGAUAGGGCAUCCACCACCUUUCUGGGCAAUCUUUUUCCCGUGCCUCACCACCCUCACUGUAAAACACUUUCUUUAUAUCCAACCUGAAGCUCCCCUCUUUUAGUUUGAAACCCUUUUCCCUUUUCCUGUCACAAAAGACCCAGCUAAAGAGUCUGUCCCCAUCCUUCUUAUGGAUCCCCUUUACAUACUGAAAGACUACUCUCAGGUCUCCCCAGAGCCUUCUCUUCUUCAGGCUGAACAACCCCAGCUCUCCCAGUCUGUCCUCAUUGGGAAGGUGGUUCCAUCCCUGGGAUUAUUUUUGUGGACCCCCUCUGGACGUGCUCCAGCAGGUCCAUGUCUCUCUUGUCCUGAGGACUCCACAUCUGGCCACAGUACGCCAAGUGAGGCCUCACCAGUGCAGAGUAGAGAGCAGCUGUAUGAUUUCCCUCCACCUGCUGACCACACUGCUUUGGAUGCAGUCCAGGAUGUGGUUGGCUAUUUUUUUUUUUUUUUAAACCUUGCUAAGCUUCCAAUUUCUAAAUCAUCUCAGUAUUUACUGUUUUAUUUAAUUAUUCCUAUUCAUUUACAUUCUGGAAUACUAUUACCUAAACAUCUUCAUCCUUUAUUAUAUAAAAAAAACAUGAAUCUAAGUUGACAACAUACAUCAUUAUGGAUUAAGCCAAAAUUUCUAGAUGCUUUUUCAUUAACUGACUACUUCAAUUCUCAGUAGUCACCAGUAAUUCAUUUACUUUCUUAAAAAAAAAAAAUUAAUUUCUCAGCUGUCCAAAUUCUAACGUCAUCUGCUAAAUUUUCCAUUAUCUGACCUUCAUAAAGACUGUUUUACAUUCAGUUUUCUAGCAUGUAUUCAGCAUACUAAACAGCUUCAAAUUCUUAUUCAAGUUUUUACAAGUCAGGAAAAUUAUGAACGUAAAUGAAAAACAGGCAAGGAACAUACAGAUUAAGCCAAUGUUCCUACACUUAUGUCAUACUUAAAUAUUUGUAAAUAAGUAAACCUAGACUCUGGAAGUUUAAAAGAGGGUACCCGAAAUGUAUGGUUAUCAGAUAAGAGCAUUAGUUCUCUUACACUUGCUUAACCUGAAAACACAAGCUCUCAGGUAAAAUCUUAAUGAAGCAUUCUGCAAGGACAGAUUCAGAAACAAUGCAAAAGAGAUGAGAAAUGGCUUGUUCAUUGACCACUCCAUAG
ensembl:lncRNA